rnacentral:rRNA from 1 species
AUUGAACGCUGGCGGCAGGCCUAACACAUGCAAGUCGAGCGGAUGAAGGGAGCUUGCUCCUGGAUUCCGCGGCGGACGGGUGAGUAAUGCCUAUGAAUCUGCCUGGUUUUGGGGGAUAACGUCCGGAAACGGGCGCUACUACCGCAUACGUCCUGCGGGAGCAAGUGGGGGAUCUUCGGACCUCACGCUCUCAGAUGAGUCUAGGUCGGAUUAGCUAGUUGGUGGGGUAAAGGCCUACUAAGGCGACGAUCCGUAACUGGUCUGAGAGGAUGAUCAGUCACACUGGAACGGAGACACGGUCCAGACGCCUACGGGAGGCAGCAGUGGGGAAUAUUGGGCAAUGGGCGAAAGCAUGGUCCAGCCAGGCCGCGUGUGUGAAGAAGGUCUUCGGAUUGUAAAGCACGUUAAGUUGGGAGGAAGGGCAGUAAGUUAAGACCUUGCUGGUUUGACGGUACCAACAGAAUAAGCACCGGCUAACUACGUG